rnacentral:rRNA from 1 species
GAUUACUUGCUAAGCGCUUAAAACCCAAAGGACUUGACGGUACCCCAUAUCCAUCUAGAGGAGCCUGUUCUAUAAUCGAUAACCCCCGUUUAACCUCACCAUUUCUGGUAAUUCAACUUGUAUACCUCCGUCGUCAGCUUACCUUGUGAGCGCCUAAUAGUGAGCACAAUGUCUUACAACAAUACGUCAGGUCAAGGUGCAGUAUAUGAAACGGGAAGAAAUGGGCUACACUCUCUAUCUUAGAGCAUACGAAAAACUAUCAUGAAAUCUAGUUUAAAGGCGGAUUUAGCAGUAAAAAGAGAUCAUCAUACUCAUUUUAAAAUGGCACUGGGGUGUGUACACACCGCCCGUCACCCUCUUCAAAUAAAUUACU